rnacentral:rRNA from 1 species
UCGAGUGAGACUCUGGGUCACCUCCCACCCGUGUUUAUCGUACCUUGUUGCUUCGGCGGGCCCGCCUCACGGCCGCCGGGGGGCUUCUGCCCUCGGGCCCGCGCCCGCCGAAGACACCAUUGAACGCUGUCUGAAGAUUGCAGUCUGAGCAAUUAGCUAAAUAAGUUAAAACUUUCAACAACGGAUCUCUUGGUUCCGGCAUCGAUGAAGAACGCAGCGAAAUGCGAUACGUAAUGUGAAUUGCAGAAUUCAGUGAAUCAUCGAGUCUUUGAACGCACAUUGCGCCCCCUGGUAUUCCGGGGGGCAUGCCUGUCCGAGCGUCAUUGCUGCCCUCAAGCACGGCUUGUGUGUUGGGCCUCCGUCCUCCUCCCGGGGGACGGGCCCGAAAGGCAGCGGCGGCACCGCGUCCGGUCCUCGAGCGUAUGGGGCUUCGUCACCCGCUCUUGUAGGCCCGGCCGGCGCUUGCCGACACAUCAAUCUUUUUUCCAGGUUGACCUCGGAUCAGGUAGGGAUACCCGCUGAACUUAAGCAUAUCAAUAAGCGGAGGAA